UGCAGUCGAGCGAAUGGAUUAAGAGCUUGCUCUUAUGAAGUUAGCGGCGGACGGGUGAGUAACACGUGGGUAACCUGCCCAUAAGACUGGGAUAACUCCGGGAAACCGGGGCUAAUACCGGAUAACAUUUUGAACCGCAUGGUUCGAAAUUGAAAGGCGGCUUCGGCUGUCACUUAUGGAUGGACCCGCGUCGCAUUAGCUAGUUGGUGAGGUAACGGCUCACCAAGGCAACGAUGCGUAGCCGACCUGAGAGGGUGAUCGGCCACACUGGGACUGAGACACGGCCCAGACUCCUACGGGAGGCAGCAGUAGGGAAUCUUCCGCAAUGGACGAAAGUCUGACGGAGCAACGCCGCGUGAGUGAUGAAGGCUUUCGGGUCGUAAAACUCUGUUGUUAGGGAAGAACAAGUGCUAGUUGAAUAAGCUGGCACCUUGACGGUACCUAACCAGAAAGCCACGGCUAACUACGUGCCAGCAGCCGCGGUAAUACGUAGGUGGCAAGCGUUAUCCGGAAUUAUUGGGC
rnacentral:rRNA from 1 species